GCCAUGAUUUUGAAUCAGAUUGGUCUUUGGGCAGAUUGGAUGAGAUAAAGUAUAUUGGAAGGUGCAUCGUUUGAGCUUCACCUGUUUCUUCAUGGAGAAUAGUAGGAAACCACCAUCCAAUCCUGAUAGUAAUUCUGACAACAUUCGGUAGUCAUUUUGACAUUUGUUUGAUCUACAUCCUCGUCCUUCUGUCCGUGAAUCAUUCAUUUUAUUCAGUGGCAACUCUCUAGGAAUGAAGCUGAGGGUCCUGCUUCCUGCUUAAAAAAAAAAAAAAAAGGUGAGGUGCCAAGAAAUGAGCAGAGCUAAUCCUGAUCUA
rnacentral:lncRNA from 1 species